ACACGACUACAUUAGAUACCCGGGUAGUCCCAGCCCUAAACGAUGCGCGUUAGGUGUAUCGGUGACCACGAGUCACCGAGGUGCCGAAGGGAAACCGUGAAACGUGCCGCCUGGGAAAGUACGGUCGCAAGGCUGAAACUUAAGGAAUUGGCCGGGGGAGCACCACAACGGGUGGAGCCUGCGGUUUAAUUGGACUCAACGCCGGGAAGCUCACCGGAUAAGACAGCGGAAUGAUUGCCGGGCUGAAGACCCUGCAUGACCAGCUG
rnacentral:rRNA from 1 species